rnacentral:lncRNA from 1 species
AUUCUCAACUAAUCUAAUAUGAAUUAAGCUAUCAAUUUUUUAUUAAGUGAAAUAAUAUUUUGCUGUUUUGCUUUUGAACAACUAUUAAAGGUGCAUUUAAGCAUAACUGCAAACAUUAGAAUAAGAAGAUAAGGUAUGAUUGCAAAUGAGACAAUUAUCCACUAGAGACCUAAUGAUGUAGAUGUGAGCAACACCAAUCCUACAGAGCAUGAUAAAAAAGAUUCUGAAAUGACAAAAUGUAAAAAAAGAAAACUAGAAUACCAAUGUCCUGAUUGAUGUUAAAACCAUAAAACGAACAACAAAUAUGAUAUAACCAGAAUAUAACAUGGCAUUUUUCAUAUCAGAUGUAUAAUAAGCCAAAUGUACAAUCUCAGCCCAAGUGCCAAAGUCUCUGGGAUUCUAAUUGACAAAGGGCUGUUAAUAUAUCUGAUUUGAAAAAUGAUAUGUUAUCUUUUCAUCAUAUACUUCAGCAGAAGAAAUAUAGAC